GGGAUAACAUUUGGAAACAGAUGCUAAUACCGAAUAAAACUUAGUAUCGCAUGAUAUCAAGUUAAAAGGCGCUACGGCGUCACCUAGAGAUGGAUCCGCGGUGCAUUAGUUAGUUGGUGGGGUAAAGGCUUACCAAGACGAUGAUGCAUAGCCGAGUUGAGAGACUGAUCGGCCACAUUGGGACUGAGACACGGCCCAAACUCCUACGGGAGGCUGCAGUAGGGAAUCUUCCACAAUGGGCGCAAGCCUGAUGGAGCAACGCCGCGUGUGUGAUGAAGGCUUUCGGGUCGUAAAGCACUGUUGUAUGGGAAGAAAUGCUAAAAUAGGGAAUGAUUUUAGUUUGACGGUACCAUACCAGAAAGGGACGGCUAAAUACGUGCCAGCAGCCGCGGUAAUACGUAUGUCCCGAGCGUUAUCCGGAUUUAUUGGGCGUAAAGCGAGCGCAGACGGUUGAUUAAGUCUGAUGUGAAAGCCCGGAGCUCAACUCCGGAAUGGCAUUGGAAACUGGUUAACUUGAGUGUUGUAGAGGUAAGUGGAACUCCAUGUGUAGCGGUGGAAUGCGUAGAUAUAUGGAAGAACACCAGUGGCGAAGGCGGCUUACUGGACAACAACUGACGUUGAGGCUCGAAAGUGUGGGUAGCAAACAGGAUUAGAUAUCCUGGUAGUCCACACCGUAAACGAUGAAUACUAGGUGUUAGGAGGUUUCCGCCUCUUAGUGCCGAAGCUAACGCAUUAAGUAUUCCGCCUGGGGAGUACGACCGCAAGGUUGAAACUCAAAGGAAUUGACGGGGACCCGCACAAGCGGUGGAGCAUGUGGUUUAAUUCGAAGCAACGCGAAGAACCUUACCAGGUCUUGACAUCCUUUGAAGCUUUUAG
rnacentral:rRNA from 1 species